AGGCCUGGCAGAGCUCUGCAAGCUGGAGUCUUAGCAGCAGAAGUCAAACUGGGGUAAAUUUGUCCAAAGACAUAUAAAACAGUUUUCUCUGACAUGGUGCAUCUGAAACACAUAGGUGUCAAACAGUGAAUUUGGAUGUAAUCUCUGGAGCCAGGGCAGGACUUUUCUUUCAGUUUGACAGACUCUCACUCUGUUGCCCAGGCUGGAGUGCAGUGGUACAAUCUUGGCUCACUGCAGCCUCUACCUCCCAGGUUCAAGCGAUUCCUGGGCCUUGGCCUCACGAGUAGCUGAGAUUACAGGCACACAUCACCAUGCCCCACUAAUUUUUUUGUAUUUUUAGUAGAAAUGGGGUUUUGUUAUAUGGGCUAGGCUGGUCUCAAACUCCUGGCCUCAAGUGAUCCGCCUGCCUCAGCCCCCCUAAGUGUUGGGAUUACAGGCGUGAAUCACCUGGCCAGCAGGGCAGGACUUUCCUAAGGCUUCUCUGAACUCGUACUUGUAAAUCCUCUACCCUACAAGACUUUCUGCAACCCUAACACUAACAUCUUAAGGGUGAAGUAAAAAAA
rnacentral:lncRNA from 1 species